UACGUAGGGGUCGAGCGUUGUCCGGAGUUACUGGGCGUAAAGCGCGCGCAGGCGGCGCGAUAAGACCGGCGUGAAAGCCCCCGGCUCAACCGGGGAGGUCGUUGGUGACUGUCGCGCUUGAAGGCAGCAGGGGUGAGUGGAAUUCCCGGUGUAGUGGUGAAAUGCGUAGAGAUCGGGAGGAACACCCGUGGCGAAGGCGGCUCACUGGGCUGAC
rnacentral:rRNA from 1 species